UCUAAUGGAUAGCUUUAUUUUGAUAGAAAAAUAGAAAUAUAAAAGGAAAGAUGAUAAUGCCAUUCUUAAGAAAGCAGUUAAAAUUCUUGAAGGAAGAGUACAUCAAACUGUGAUUUAAAGCAGCAAAUAUGAAAGAUGAAGAAGUGGGAG